rnacentral:lncRNA from 1 species
AUGGCAUGGACUCGCCGAGUCCGAUGAACAGACUCGGCGAGUAGCUUGAAGAUUAACUGGGACUCGUCGAGUUGUUCUUCAGACUCGGCGAGUUGAGUCGGGGUGGCCCCGCGAUUCUUCCAGGAGGAACUCGUCGAGUCAAGGAGGAUACUCGACGAGUAGAAAGGGAAUCUUAGAGAAUUGGUGAGGACGUCUAGACUCGCCGAGUCGCCCUAGCACUCGCCGAGUCAGGUCAAGUUGACCGUUGACCGUUGACCAGAGUUGACCUAUGUUUGACUUCUUAGGGAUAGUCAAACUUAGAAGAUAAAAGUGUUAAUAAGAGAUGUAUGAUGUUAUAGGGAGAUUGUAGCUCGGCGGAUCGAGCACGAGUGACUUCGGGAUUUGCUAGCUUUCGACAUUCACGAGGUGAGUCUUCUCACUAUACUGUACCCGGAAGGGUUUGACUGUGUGACCGGAAGGUCGGAUAUGAUAUGUGAUAUAUGUGCUAUAUGUGAUAAGUUAAUUGUUAUGCGUGCUAUGUAUGUUAUGUGGGCCGGAAGGCAUUAUGUUAUGGGCCGGAAGGCGAUUAUGUUAUGGGCCGGAAGGCGUUGUGUUGUGGACCGGAAGGUCGGCGUGGGUAGGACCGGAAGGUUUACCCAGCAGGGACGGAAGUCCCCUGAGACACAUGGACCGGAAGGUCAGGGCCUGGAAAGGCGUAUGUGCGUAAGUUGUAUAUUGGGGAACUCACUAAGCAUUUAUGCUUACAGUUGUUAUGUAUGUGUUUCAGGUACUAGCGAGGACCGUGGGAAGGCGCCGGCGUGAUCUGUACACACUGAAGGAUGUUUUGUGAUCUUGGGAUUUAGAUGAUUUGUAUUUUGACAUGACACUUGAAAUGUUUAUGCCUUGUUUUGAAUGAAAAUACUAUAUUUUGAAAUGAAAAAUUUGUUUGAAAAUUUACGGUGUUACAAAUUGGUAUCAGAGCCUUGGUUUGAGGGAUUCGGGUGCACCUUCGGGCGUAACUGAACUCAAACCGAGGAUUUGAGGAAAACUUUUAAAAUAAAGGCAUAAACUUUUAUAAAUGAUUUUGUGGUAAACAAGAAAGAAGCAGUGUGUACGAUCAGUCAGCGCCCGAACGGUAAAGAUCCCCAAAAUACCUUACAAUGUUAUGUUAUGAGAUAAGUUAUGAUAUGAAUUGUUAUGCAUGCUAGAAGACUAGGUAUUCAUGAUAGGACUAGAGUGGCCUGAUUUGUGAUGCCUUAGUCUAGGGAGGUUUGCCGAUAUGAGAUGCUUUGAUAGCGUGCAGAUAGAUAGUGCAUAUCAGAGGUAGAGUACUCACUAUCCGGGGUUUGGGGAGGAAGAUUUGGGAUGAAUGCUGAUGCGGUGUGGUCGGUAGUAUUGGGCCCGUACUACCGAAGACACCGGGUCAGUGGGAGACCCAAGUAAGAAUCCCUGGAUAUCGGAGACUGAGUAGGGUUGCGUUAUCGAGUGCGAUUAUACUCGAUGGAGUCUCUGAUAGUUUUAUGUUGUAUUUCAGAGACAUCAUGGUUAGACCACGCCACGGAGCGAGUUCGAGCGGUGUGAGUGACGAGGAGAUUCGUCAGAUGAUUCAUGAGGAGGUGGCUGCAGCGAUCCGGGCUGAGAUUCCGGAGAUGUUUGGGUCUAUUAAGACCACCUUGAUGGAGACUUUUGAGGAGCGGUACGCCGCAUUGACUGAGGCUGCAGCCGCUGCAGCUACCGCAGCUGUGGCCGCUGCCAGGCCACAGGGGGGUGACUCGUUGCUGUUUCGGGAGUUCAGCAACACGAAGCCACCUGAGUUUGAUGGGACGCAGGAUCCGAUUGCUGCGAUGAGGUGGAUCGCUGAUAUUGAGGGGUGCUUCUACACUUGUUCAUGUCCGGAGCAUCUGAGGGUACGGUUCGCUUUGAACCAGCUCCGUCUGGGAGCGAAGGAUUGGUGGAAGUUCGUGACGGCGAACUUCACUUUGGCAGAGAUUUCAGCAGUGACAUGGGAGGGGUUUACCUCUAUGUUCAGAGACGAGUACGUUCCCCCGGUGGAGAGGGAACGAUUGGUUCAGGAGUUCUUGACCCUCAAGCAGGGUACUGAUUCGGUUGCGGUGAUCACGCGGAAGUUUCAUGAGAGGGCGAUGUUCUGCCCCGAGCUGGUGUCCACAGAGCAGGCUCGGAUGAGCCGGUACUUGGGUGUUUUGAGGAGGGAUAUCCGGGAGUUUGUGUCAAACUCCACCUAUCAUACCUUUGCUGAGCUUCAGGCGAAUGCCAGGAAGCGCGAGAUCGAGUUGGAGACCCAGGCCAGGGAGGAGGCCGAGUCUCAGCGGGUGGACCGGCGGCCGGCUCAGUCUCAGCCGGCAGCCAAGCGGACUAAGUCCGCUGAUUCGAGGACGGGAGGUCCGAAGGGCCGCACUUGCGGAAAGUGCGGCAAGGGUCAUGAGGGGGCAUGUCGAUCUGGUGCUUGCUACAAGUGUGGCAAGGAGGGGCACAUUGCUAGGGAUUGCCCCAAGGGGUUUACGGUUUGCUUUCAUUGCAACCAGACAGGCCAUCGGAAGGCCGAGUGCCCUCAGCUUCUUCAGGGAUCUGCACCUACUGCCAGGGCUACUGAGACUCGACCGGUGAAGGCCGAGGCCCCGAGGGCUCGUGGGAGAGCCUUUCAGCUGACUGCGGAGGAGGUCCGCGCUGCGCCCGAUGUUGUGGCAGGUAUGCUGUAUUUCAUGUAUUUAUUUUGAUGUCGAGAUGUUAUGCUUAUGUUAUGAUAUGCGUAGGUACUUUCCUUGUGAACUCUGUGCCUGCUUUAGUGUUAUUUGACUCGGGUGCGAGUAGGUCCUUUGUAUCUUUGGCUUUUAGUCAGCAUAUCAGCGUUAGUCGUGAGUCGUUGAGUCGGCCUCUGAGAGUUUCUAUAGCUGACGAGAGAGUGAUUUGUGCCACGGAGGUUCUCCGGGGAUGUGUGUUAGAGAUUUUCGGGGUUGAGUUUCCGAUUGACCUGAUUCCUAUUGCGAUGGGUGAUGUCUGUGUCAUUGUGGGCAUGGACUGGUUGAGCCGAUUCGGCGCUGUCAUCGACUGUGAGCGUCAGUUGGUGACUAUACGAGACCAUAGUGGGGGAGUUCUUUCGGUGUACGGCGAGGGUACCCGUUCGGGAUCAGCUUUUUGUUCGGCCGCUAGGGCGAGGCAGUGUCUACAGCAGGGCUGUAAGGGUUUUGUGGCGUAUGUGAUGGAUACGCGGGAGGUUUCCGAGAGACCGAGAUCAGUUGAGGAGGUCCCAGUGGUGCGUGAGUUUCCAGAUGUUUUCCCCGAGGAGCUGCCGGGAGUACCUCCUGUGAGGCAAGUAGAGUUUGGUAUCGAUCUGGUUCCGGGGGCCGCGCCUAUUGCUAAGGUGCCUUAUCGUCUUGCACCUCCAGAGAUGCAAGAGUUGUCCUCGCAGCUUCAGGAGUUGCUGGGGAAGGGAUUCAUUCGGCCGAGCAGCUCGCCGUGGGGAGCACCUAUUCUGUUCGUCAAGAAGAAGGAUGGUUCACACCGGAUGUGCAUUGAUUACCGGGAGUUGAACAAGUUGACGGUCAAGAACCGUUACCCGUUACCGAGGAUCGAUGAUUUAUUCGAUCAGUUGCAGGGAGCAUCUUGGUUUUCCAAGAUCGAUCUGAGGUCAGGGUACCAUCAGGUGAGAGUGCGGGAUGAGGACGUCCAGAAGACAGCGUUUAGGACGCGAUAUGGGCAUUAUGAGUUUGUGGUGAUGCCUUUCGGGCUCACCAAUGCCCCGGCUGUGUUCAUGGAUCUCAUGAACAGGGUAUGCAGGCCGAUGUUGGAUCGGUCAGUGAUUGUAUUUAUCGACGACAUUCUGGUGUAUUCGAGAUCUAGAGAGCAGCAUGAGGAGCAUUUGAGGGAGGUCCUUGAGGUAUUGAGGUCGGAGAAGCUUUAUGCAAAGUUCUCCAAAUGUGACUUCUGGUUGCGGGAGGUCCAAUUUCUAGGACAUGUUGUUAAUCAGGAAGGGAUAUUGGUCGAUCCGGCCAAGGUUGAGGCGGUGAUGAGUUGGGAGGUGCCGAAGUCACCUUCUGAGAUCAGGAGUUUCCUUGGAUUGGCAGGGUAUUAUCGGAGAUUCAUUAAGGACUUCUCCAAAGUUGUAGUGCCACUCACUAGAUUGACCCGAAAGGGGGUUGCAUUCUUAUGGGGACCCGAGCAGCAGACCUCCUUUAAGACACUUCGCCAAAGGUUGUGCGAAGCUCCGGUAUUAGCUCUCCCGGAAGGGAUGGAGGAUUUUGUAGUAUAUUGCGAUGCAUCGAUUUCGGGGCUGGGUGAAGUGUUGAUGCAGAGGGGUCAUGUGAUAGCUUAUGCGUCGAGGCAGCUGAAGCCUCAUGAGGUGAAAUAUCCCACGCAUGAUUUAGAGUUGGGGGCAGUAGUGUUCGCUUUCAAGAUCUGGCGUCACUACUUGUAUGGGGUUCGAUGUAUGAUAUACACGAACCAUAAGAGCUUGAAGUAUUUGAUGGAUCAGCCCAACCUAAAUAUGCGUCAGAGGAGGUGGUUGGAUGUGGUCAAGGAUUAUGAUUGUGAGAUCCUGUACCACCCAGGCAAGGCUAAUGUGGUAGCCGAUGCAUUGAGCCGCAGGGCGGAGAGCACUCCACUGCGAGAUGUAUGUUUGAGAUUGACUGUAAUAGCUCCAGUAUUGGAUGCUAUUCGUGGGGCACAGGCCGAGGCUGUGCGACCAGAGAUGCAGAAGAGAGAGCGGGUCGUUGGUUUGGUUUCAGAGUUCGUUACGGAUGGACGAGGGCUUAUGACGUUUCAGGGUCGGAUUUGGGUACCGUUCGUGGGUGGUACGCGUAUUACUUUGAUGGAAGAGGCUCAUCGGUCGAAAUUUUCGAUCCAUCCGGGGGCUACGAAGAUGUAUUUGGAUUUGAGGAAAGAGUAUUGGUGGCCCUGUAUGAAGAGGGACGUCGCAUGGUUCGUUGAGAGGUGCUUGACCUGCCGCAGGGUUAAGGCCGAGCACCAGAGACCGCAUGGCAAGUUGCAGCCAUUGGAGGUUCCCGAAUGGAAGUGGGAACAGAUCACUAUGGAUUUCAUCACCAAAUUGCCGAGGACUGCCAGAGGAGUUGAUGCAAUUUGGGUGAUUGUGGAUAGGUUGACGAAGAGCGCUCACUUCCUUGCCAUCAGUGAGAGUUCUUCAGCGGAGAAGUUGGCGGAGAUAUAUGUGAGAGAAGUGGUAUCUCGGCAUGGGGUGCCGAUCUCGAUUGUUUCAGACCGUGAUGUGCGCUUCACUUCCAGAUUCUGGAAGAAAUUCCAUGAGGAGCUGGGUACUAAAUUGCAUUUUAGUACCGCAUACCAUCCCCAGACAGACGGUCAGAGCGAGCGAACGAUUCAGACGCUGGAGGACAUGCUUCGAGCGUGUGUGUUAGAUUUCGGGGGUAGCUGGGAUGCGUAUUUACCCUUGGCAGAGUUUUCCUACAACAACAGCCAUCAUUCGAGCAUUGGUAUGCCACCCUUUGAGCUGUUGUAUGGUAGGAGGUGUCGGACCCCCAUUUGCUGGGGAGAGGUUGGGCAGAGAGUGAUGGGCAGUACAGAGAUCGUGCUUCAGACGACAGAGCAGAUUCAGCAGGUCAGACAGAGGUUAUUGACCGCCCAGAGCCGACAGAAGAGUUAUGCAGAUAGACGCCGAUCCGAGCUUGAGUUUCAGGUCGGCGACUUCGUUCUCCUGAAGGUCUCUCCUUGGAAAGGAGUGAUUCGAUUCAGGAAGAGGGGCAAGUUGGGACCCCGGUAUAUUGGGCCAUUUCGUGUGAUUGCAAGGAUAGGCCGGGUAGCCUAUCGUUUGGAGUUGCCAGCAGAGUUGGGGCAGAUCCACGACACUUUUCAUGUGUCGCAAUUGAGGAAGUGUAUAGCCGAUGAGUCGGCAGUGGUUCCAUUAGAGGAUAUUCAGGUGGAUGCGAGCCUGAAUUAUGCCGAGAGGCCCGUGGCCAUCAGGGAUCAGAAGAUCAAGGUUCUGAGGAACAAGGAGGUACCUCUGGUGAUGGUUCAGUGGCAACACUGGAAGGGAUCGGAAAUGACUUGGGAGCCGGAGCGUGAGAUGCGGGAGCAGCAUCCGGAGCUAUUUUCUGAGUGACACUUCGAUGACGAAGUCUAGUCCUAGUGGGGGAGAGUUGUAACAGCCCGGAACUUCAGGUAUUGUUAUAUUUACGAUUUUAGGUGUUUUAAGAGGGGACUCGGCGAGUUGGAGCCUAGACUCGCCGAGUAGGAUCGCGGAUCUGGUCGCGGGUUCGCGACUGGACUCGACGAGUCCAGAUAUGGACUCGGCGAGUCUGCGCUGUUUAGCGAAAACCCUAACCGUUCAGGUUUGGGACGUAUAUAAGGGACCUUAUGGCCGUCAUUGUUCACCCUAGUCCUCUGAGAGAAACCCUAAUUCGAUUGUGAGCAUCUGGAGCAAGGUAGAAGACCAUUGUUGAUUUUGGAAGUGUUGUUUUGCAAGGAAGAGGAGGCUUGGUUAAGGGAACAACAAGAGAAGCCACGUUCUGAGGAUUGGGGACACAGAGAGCACGUUAUUCAGGUAAUAUUUCGAGUUGCAUUCUUCUAUGUUGAUGUGUAUAUGGAUUUAGGGUUUAUUGAACCCUUUUGUGGCUAGAUUGAGUGUUACCUUAGUCCCCCAAGCGAUUGGAACCCUGUAUUGGGACCUUUGGAAGUCCAGAAUGUCCCAUGCCUGAGCAUUUCGGGAAUCAAUGGAGGUUUUGGAUUGGAAUCCUUAUGCCUUAGGUCAAAAUGUAAAUUAUGAGUCAUGGGGUGUAUUAUGAGCACCGAAAUGAGGACCUUACGUGAUGAAUCAGUCUAGGAAGGCCAGACCUAUGAAUGGUCGGAGCAGUUCUGACCUUAGAAAGCAGUUUGAGCGGUUGCAUGGCAUGGACUCGCCGAGUCCGAUGAACAGACUCGGCGAGUAGCUUGAAGAUUAACUGGGACUCGUCGAGUUGUUCUUCAGACUCGGCGAGUUGAGUCGGGGUGGCCCCGCGAUUCUUCCAGGAGGAACUCGUCGAGUCAAGGGGGAUACUCGACGUGUAGAAAGGGAAUCUUAGAGAAUUGGUGAGGACGUCUAGACUCGCCGAGUCGCCCUAGCACUCGCCGAGUCAGGUCAAGUUGACCGUUGACCGUUGACCGUUGACCAGAGUUGACCUAUGUUUGAUCUCUUAGGGAUAGCCAAACUUAGAAGAUAAAAGUGUUAAUAAGAGAUGUAUGAUGUUAUAGGGAGAUUGUAGCUCGGCGGAUCGGGUACGAGUGACUUCGGGAUUUGCUAGCUUUCGACAUUCACGAGGUGAGUCUUCUCACUAUACUGUAC